rnacentral:lncRNA from 1 species
UUCAUUAUUAUGAUGCCAUCUUUAACUAAACUCCCCGCAAAGAAGUGACCGAGAUUAGCUGGUGUUAUGGAAGUUUUGGUAGAGGAAGCACGCUUCAUGCGCCUAAACUCAAGACAUGGUGUGUGGUGUUGCAGUGUUGCAUGUGUGCUUUUUUCACUUGUGUUGAAGAAUGGCCUGAUGAAGUGAGCCCUGAGCAGACCAGGCUGGACACACAAAUUCGAGACAUGGGGCGUGGCCCAUAACAUCAAGGGACCAUUGACGGCUGGCAAACCUUGCUUUACAGUUUACAGUGUUGCAGAUAUUGUGGGCAUGUUUGCAGAUGCUGGAGCAAGGUUUCAAGAGAAAAUCACUAUCAUUCUUCAAUCCUCAUAUUGGUCAUACCUACUUAAUAAAUUAAUUAGCAAAAUAUGUAUUAUCUUUUCUUUUUCAAUUUAGUUUUAUUUUAAUUUUAUGUAACUUUUAGGGACUAAGGAUGGAGUGCCAGUGUAAGGAGUGGAGACUCAACAUGUAACCUGUUGUAUGCGA